AACUUACAAUGCAAGUCGAACGAUGAUUAUCUAGCUUGCUAGAUAUGAUUAGUGGCGGACGGGUGAGUAACAUUUAGGAAUCUGCCUAGUAGUGGGGGAUAGCUCGGGGAAACUCGAAUUAAUACCGCAUACGACCUACGGGUGAAAGGGGGCGCAAGCUCUUGCUAUUAGAUGAGCCUAAAUCAGAUUAGCUAGUUGGUGGGGUAAAGGCCCACCAAGGCGACGAUCUGUAACUGGUCUGAGAGGAUGAUCAGUCACACCGGAACUGAGACACGGUCCGGACUCCUACGGGAGGCAGCAGUGGGGAAUAUUGGACAAUGGGGGCAACCCUGAUCCAGCCAUGCCGCGUGUGUGAAGAAGGCCUUUUGGUUGUAAAGCACUUUAAGCAGGGAGGAGAGGCUAAUGGUUAAUACCCAUUAGAUUAGACGUUACCUGCAGAAUAAGCACCGGCUAACUCUGUGCCAGCAGCCGCGGUAAUACAGAGGGUGCGAGCGUUAAUCGGAAUUACUGGGCGUAAAGCGAGUGUAGGUGGCUCAUUAAGUCACAUGUGAAAUCCCCGGGCUUAACCUGGGAACUGCAUGUGAUACUGGUGGUGCUAGAAUAUGUGAGAGGGAAGUAGAAUUCCAGGUGUAGCGGUGAAAUGCGUAGAGAUCUGGAGGAAUACCGAUGGCGAAGGCAGCUUCCUGGCAUAAUAUUGACACUGAGAUUCGAAAGCGUGGGUAGCAAACAGGAUUAGAUACCCUGGUAGUCCACGCCGUAAACGAUGUCUACUAGCCGUUGGGGUCCUUGAGACUUUAGUGGCGCAGUUAACGCGAUAAGUAGACCGCCUGGGGAGUACGGCCGCAAGGUUAAAACUCAAAUGAAUUGACGGGGGCCCGCACAAGCGGUGGAGCAUGUGGUUUAAUUCGAUGCAACGCGAAGAACCUUACCUGGUCUUGACAUAGUGAGAAUCCUGCAGAGAUGCGGGAGUGCCUUCGGGAAUUCACAUACAGGUGCUGCAUGGCUGUCGUCAGCUCGUGUCGUGAGAUGUUGGGUUAAGUCCCGCAACGAGCGCAACCCUUUUCCUUAUUUGCCAGCGGGUUAAGCCGGGAACUUUAAGGAUACUGGCCAGUGACAAACUGGAAGGAAGGCGGGACGACGUCAAGUCAUCAUGGCCCUUACGACCAG
rnacentral:rRNA from 1 species